rnacentral:rRNA from 1 species
AUUGAACGCUGGCGGCAGGCCUAACACAUGCAAGUCGAGCGCGAAAGUUCUUCGGAAUGAGUAAAGCGGCGGGCGGGUGAGUAAUACAUGGGAAUCUGCCUGGUAGUGGGGGACAACGUUUCGAAAGGAACGCUAAUACCGCAUACGCCCUACGGGGAAAGGGGGGAUCUUCGGACCUCUCGCUAUCAGAUGAGCCCAUG